UACGGGGGGGCAAGCGUUGUUCGGAAUUACUGGGCGUAAAGGGCUCGUAGGCGGCCAACUAAGUCAGACGUGAAAUCCCUCGGCUUAACCGGGGAACUGCGUCUGAUACUGGAUGGCUUGAAUCCGGGAGAGGGAUGCGGAAUUCCAGGUGUAGCGGUGAAAUGCGUAGAUAUCUGGAGGAACACCGGUGGCGAAGGCGGCAUCCUGGACCAAUUCUGACGCUGAGGAGCGAAAGCCAGGGGAGCAAACGGG
rnacentral:rRNA from 1 species